ACCAGUGGAGAGAGAGAAACACAAGCUAGCCACCACCUCCCACCUUUUUCCGUCGCCAGCGCCGAUUCUGGCCAAAUCCGGUCACAAUUCUUACACCAUUCUCUUCUUCUCUUCAUGGGCUUUCUAUUGAUAUAUGUUUCAAUACCUAUCAUCAAGUGUGUGUGACGAAUCGAAGGAGAGAAGAUUGAGUGAUUUUCCGGCUAUUUUUCAAAUUCCGACCAAACCGUCAACAUUUUGGAGAAACCCUAAGGUAAUCCGGUUGAGCAAGGUUUCGAGGACGUUCCCGAGAUGGAACUCACCUAGUCACCCUUCAUUGUUAGCGUUGGAGAGGUCGAAUCAAUAUCCACAUCAAAGGCAUGCAUCCACUUGAUCUUCUUGAUCUUCUGACAUCAGUCAUAUAGUUUACUUAGUAGUAGUUCUUAUGUUAAUUAGAGAAGCUUUGAGAUGCCAUAAGUAAACUGAGGUCUAUUGAAAUUGCAUGUAAAUAUUGGACGAGACACUUUGUUUUAUCUAUUCAUUGAUGGUUAGUGAAAGUUGAUUUUGUGAGAGACAAGAGGUCAUAUUUGGGAGUUAUGGGAGAUAUAUGAUAUUAGAAGUGUAUUAUUGAUUUACAAGUUUUUGGAUAGUC